AGAUGGCGACCGGCGCACGGGUGAGUAACACGUAUCCAACCUGCCGAUAACUCGGGGAUAGCCUUUCGAAAGAAAGAUUAAUACCCGAUGGUAUAAUCAGACCGCAUGGUUUGAUUAUUAAAGAAUUUCGGUUAUCGAUGGGGAUGCGUUCCAUUAGAUAGUAGGCGGGGUAACGGCCCACCUAGUCAACGAUGGAUAGGGGUUCUGAGAGGAAGGUCCCCCACAUUGGAACUGAGACACGGUCCAA
rnacentral:rRNA from 1 species